GUGGGAUUGUGUGUCUCGUGUAAUAAGGGCACCCCAGGCUGGAGAAAGCGGAACACUUGGGCAACUCGGUGCAAACACAUCCUAACCCUGGGCCCUAGGCGGAGGGCUCCAACGCCGGGCUGAAGGAGAUAAUCCGGGUAUCGUUCUAGAUUCAUUCGGAAAAGAAGCGGCUGCUCUGACCCGGAUAAUGGAAAAGGAGGCUGGAGGUUGCUGCCAGUUAACAGCCAGUGAUUACUCUUCAUCACCUUCCUAGGAGGGACUGGAGGACCGAUGGGUGGCGUUAUUGGAAGGUGACUUGAUUUCUAGCAACAAGAAGAAGGUGAAGAUGUCUAGCUCCCAUAGAAGAAUGGAAGCAAUUCAUCAGAAAACAUCUCUUGGGGCAAUAUUUUGUAUUCUGCCACCACCAUGGGGCUCCUAGGGAAGGGGGGCAGGGUCCUGAUAUCUGAUUUAAGAGAAACUAAGUGUGUGAUGGUACAGGCUAAUUCUCCCUGAUCUAUGACUUUGCAGGAAAUUUUAUCAUCUUUGCUCAAGCCCUGAUAUUCUUGGUGCUACACCUUCUUAUGGUCACCUUUUUAUAUGGAAAGACCCAUGGUGAACUGCAAAGAUUUAGCAUCCCCCUACCAGAUGGACCUGAUUUUUUAGUCCAGGAGUUCUGAUCUUUCUGGGACUCUCCCAGAUUCAAUCACUCCUUCAGAGAACCAUUACAUUAUUCUGCUAUGCUGCUGUUAUUGUUUUUCUUAUCCUCUUAAAGUUCAGCCUCUAUCAGGCUUCUUGAAUAUUGAAGGUUGGGUUGAACAAUAAUAGCCCUAAAUUCAUUUAAGUGGUCUAGAAGACCUUGAAGACAUAACAAACAAAGAAUAAAACGUGGGAGAGCCUAACUCCUCCUAUUAAAAUUAGACUGGUUUUUCCUUAAGGGAUAUUGAAACACUCUUUGCAUCUUGGUUGGCUCUGGAACUAAAGCUCAGGCUAUUGGCAUUCUUUACUUGUUGCCUGAAUACUGGAGCUCCUUAAACUCAUUGAUACUUAGCUGGUGGAAAAUGAUGGGCACCUUAGAUAAGGGAACUUAACUUAGCUGAAUCAACUAACAGUGUCUUCAAUACCAGUCUUUGUGGACUAUCCUCCUAUUAUGGAUAAUUUUUCUUGAAUGAUUUAUGAAUGUCUCAUUUUGUUCCAGUAUUGAACCUAAAUUACCAAGGGACUGGUUUGAGUCAGGCUCCAUCCAGAACAAGGUAGCAAUCUCAGAGAAACUGAUUUCAGCUCAGUGUUUGUGAAAUACCUGAUGGUAUCUACCAAUUCACCAGGUAGGCACUCCAGAGAUAGCUAUCCCAAUGUUUAAGGUGCUUUGUGGGUUUUUAAUCCAUUAAAACCAUAUCUCUGGAGCCCUCAUUGAUGUGUUUAUCUUUAAUAAUCAGCCAGAGAGUAUACCUCGUUCAAAUAAAGGCAUUUAUUGAAAUAACAUAAUAAGAAAAGUAGAAAUAAAACGUUUCAUCAUAAACCUGGGGAACACUGUCACACAAAUAUACACAUCAUUAGAGAGAACAUACAUGAAGAAGAACAUAUGUGGGAAAUAUAUGACCUGCAAGGUGGUGCCUGCAAGGAGGGACACGGU